AGAUUUCCCACGUUCUCAUCUCGUAAUUCUGAUACAAAAACAAAAUGGCGGAUGUCCGCUGUUCUUGCACAAGAAACAAAACAAGAGACGUAACGCGGAUUUGUUCCAAAGAUUCCUUCGCGACGAUGAUUGCUUAACCUUGGAUAAGAACAAAAGAGAAGACAAAAAAAAAAAAAAAAAAACCAACCCCUCGAUAGAAAAUCAAAAGCACAACGAAAAAGAAGAACUCUGAAGCAGGGUGCGCUCAUUUGAUUUGACUACAUUUAUGUCGGGCGCAUCGCCCCAUCUCUGCGACGUCCUUCCCUUUCCUUCUUCCUUUUUCGCAGUUCGAUAGAGAGAGAGAGAGAGAGCAAUGAAAGUCACUUCCCAGUGAAGCGGAAAGGUUAGAGCAAUGGUAGUGCACUUCGAAAGCUGAAAGGUGAUCUACCGCGGGAUAUUCUCUGCUUUUUGGAUAUCCCCUGUUUCGUCUUCUUGAUACCCGAUUAGAUUUAUGGACCCAAAUUUGCUCAUUUCGAACGCGCGUUCCGACGAGAAAGAUCGACAUUCGCUGGCUAUGGUAACUCGGCAUCGUGAUGAACUCUCGGUCACGAUUCGAUCCGGCUCAAUUUUAGAUUAUCCGAAGGGCCG
rnacentral:lncRNA from 1 species